GUCCUAGCCGUAAACGGUGCGCAUUUGCUGUAAAAGGAAUCGACCCCUUUUGUGGCGAAGCUAACGCGUUAAAUGCGCCGCCUGGGAAGUACGGUCGCAAGAUUAAAACUCAAAGAAAUUGACGGGGGCCUGCACAAGCGGUGGAGUAUGUGGCUUAAUUCGAUGCAACGCGAAGAACCUUACCUGGCCUUGACAUGUACGUAGUAGAAGGGUGAAAGCCCGACGAGGUAGCAAUACCAGCGUACACAGGUGCUGCAUGGCUGUCGU
rnacentral:rRNA from 1 species